AAUCUAAGGAAAUAUUAGAAGCAGUGUAUCUCCAAUCUUCGAUAGAUACCUUUUGCCAAGAUUGCAAAGGAGUGCACCUUCAUUUGUCUGAAGUCUUUGUUUGACUAAGUGGAAGUAGCUCAUCAGACUUUAAUUGCUCCUGAGCUGUGGCAGGGGAUGGCUGAGGUUAAAUACAGACCCUCCAUGUGCCACAGGCUGCUGGGAAUGACAGGACACAUUCUUCCAGGGCUCCAGAAGAGAGUGAUGUAAUGAAGCAGACUUCCAUGUGCACACACCAAAGCCUGGCUAGAUGCACGUGUGCUUGGGAUUAGUAGCUGCCAGUCCUGACCUCUGCCUUCCCUGAUGGAUCAGGAUCCACUGCUCCCUACCGCAGAGGGCCAGCAGAAGACCUCCAUGCAAUGCAAGCUGCAUUUCGGCGCAGUUCUGAGAACUUUUGUGGGAUGUGGGUGGGCAGAAGGUUUCGCUUAGUGGAAACAUUUAAAUUUGAGUUUGGAAACACUUUUACUGGCCAACAAGUUGUUUUCUUUUAAGCUUUCACAGACCGAGGAACAUCGUCACAUAAUUCCAUUAGUGAAUCCAGCAAGUUUUUGUUAAAUUGCAACACCUCUUUCAGGAAGUUAUUAAACAAUGAUUUAGAGACCAAAGAUAUGACAAAUUUACCACUUCCCUUAAUGUCUUUUUCCAAUGCAUAAUUGACUCCAUUUAUUUCCACUUUGAAUUUUAGAUCUAUCUUUUAGCCAUUGAAAGUUAAUGCACUUUGCUGCCAGCUCACAGUCCUAAGACUGAUCACAAAUUUUAACGUGUCAGAGAUAAAAUAACUCAAAAAGUAUCAAUAAUAAUCUCUGUGUCUCUUUAAAUGCUAGUAAAAUUAAUUGGCAAUCUUCAUGCCUUUCACCCACAGUGAGUAUUUGAGCGAAGAUAGAAAUGCCAUUUCUUUGAAGGUGGUGGCUCCCUUUAAAAUGGGUUUGCUUCCACAUUGCACACUGUGAUUAUCCAUCAACAGCAAUGCCAGAGGCUCUUGCAGCUUAGCAGGGGCAGCUGGGGACACGACUUUCAUCUUGUUGAAACAAAUACUAAUAUCAAAGUUCUUACAACCCUCUGAAACAUGGCAGAGACUUUGAGGUGAAUAUUUAGCGACUGGGCUGUGUGUGGGCAGUGCAAACACAAGCUGCAGCAAACAAGAGCCUUCCAGCCUUUUCUUCCAGUUGUCCUACAGAGGACUGAAAGUUGCGAGCAAUUUGCUCAUUAUUAGACCGGAGCCACUGGAGCAGGGCCUCUUCGUGUUGACUCGUGAAACCCUUUCAUGCUUAUCAGCCUACAGCUGGAUUUCCUCUGCUUUAUCACACUGCCACUUUUCCUGUAUGGCUCUCAGUUUUGUUUGGAGUUCUCUGGUCUUGCUAUUAUAUGCAGCUCUCUUUGAUGCAACGAUAGAUCUUGCAACUGUGCUCUGUGAAACGUGCACCUCUCCUGAGGUGUUGUAUAAUUGUGGGAUCACUCUUAUCUCAUCAAUCUUAAUGUUUUCUAAUUUUUUUGCCCUGGGGUCUUGUUUGAAGCAGGGCUUAAGAUAUCCCUGAAGAUUUCCAAAUUAUUUUAUUGCAAUUCUUUAGAGUUUUUCAUGUUGAGCUUUUAAUAAAGCAAAACAUUGAGGAUGAAUGUCUACUCAGUGCACAGUUUCCCUUAAAGUAGCCUGUUUUGAAGUGAAAGAAGCAUUUUAUUCAUCAGUGGAAUAACUUUUAAUUGUACUUGUUAUGAUCAGCAGAGGACUCUGGACUGUUUCACAUUAAUAAAACUCUUCCUCUUACAUCAGGAUUUUUGCUGGGCUAUUCCAUGUAGCCAUUGUCUCCUGAAGUGGCAAAUUUGAAAUGUGUACUCCCUUGUGACUGAAAUGUUGUGAAAAUUGUCCAACAUAACAGCUAUUACUGCUUUGUAAUCUUAUGAAUAAUUUCAGUUUGAUUGACUCCAGUCUCUACCUUUGCCUCACUUCUGACAGCAGUAUUUCUUAUUUUGCUCCCUGAACUUUAAAUGUCUUCCACAUGUACUUUAUAGUUAACUGAUUUUUCAUU